UGGGGAAUAUUGGACAAUGGGCGAAAGCCUGACGCAGCAACGCCGCGUGAGCGAAGAAGGCCUUCGGGUUGUAAAGCUCUGUCAGGAGGGACGAAGCCACUCGGGUGAACAGCCCAGAGGGUGACGGUACCUCCAGAGGAAGCCCCGGCUAACUACGUGCCAGCAGCCGCGGUAAUACGUAGGGGGCGAGCGUUGUCCGGAAUCAUUGGGCGUAAAGCGCGUGUAGGCGGCUUGGCAAGUCUGGUGUGAAAGCUCGAGGCUCAACCUCGAGUCUGCACCGGAAACUGCCUUGCUAGAGUCCGGAAGAGGAGACUGGAAUUCCUGGUGUAGCGGUGAAAUGCGCAGAUAUCAGAUAGAACACCAAUGGCGAAGGCAGUCAACUGGUCCGUUACUGACGCUAAAGCACGAAAGUGUGGGGAGCGAACA
rnacentral:rRNA from 1 species